rnacentral:rRNA from 1 species
GGACCCGCACAAGCGGUGGAUGAUGUGGAUUAAUUCGAUGCAACGCGAAAAACCUUACCUACCCUUGACAUGCCCGGAAUCUCGCAGAGAUGUGAGAGUGCCCGAAAGGGAACCGGGACACAGGUGCUGCAUGGCUGUCGUCAGCUCGUGUCGUGAGAUGUUGGGUUAAGUCCCGCAACGAGCGCAACCCUUGUCACUAGUUGCUACGAAAGGGCACUCUAGUGAGACUGCCGGUGACAAACCGGAGGAAGGUGGGGAUGACGUCAAGUCCUCAUGGCCCUUAUGGGUAGGGCUUCACACGUCAUACAAUGGCCGGUACAAAGGGCUGCCAACCCGCGAGGGGGAGCCAAUCCCAGAAAACCGGUCGUAGUCCGGAUUGCAGUCUGCAACUCGACUGCAUGAAGUCGGAAUCGCUAGUAAUCGCGGAUCAGCAUGUCGCGGUGAAUACGUUCCCGGGUCUU